GUAAGCCAAUGCCCUCGGUUCCUUCUCUCCCUUUGUUGUAUUCUGUUAUGUUUUGUUUUGUUGCAAUGUCUUGUAGUUUUUUAGGGAAUGUGCUAUUUAUUCAUUUCUUGAGAUGUGUGUUUCAUAACAUUUUAUAAUUAGAAAUAUAAUGGAUUUAAUGCUGAUGGAGAGAUGCCUUUUAGUAGAUGUAUCUUUAAAAUAAAUGUUAAUAUUCUUACCAUCAGGCCUUGUACUGCAAGGUCAUUAAAAGGGAUGUUCAAUUAACAAGUUAAAUUUUAUGUGUUUUAAGGAAAAAAAUUAGUGAACUCUUCAAAGAAAUACCAGAAUAAACCCAAGGUUUUCAUAAUAAAAAAUCUGAAUGUUGUCUCAAUAUAACUGGAGUCAAUAUAUAAAACCGACUGAUUGAGAAUAGUGCGCUCCUGAGUGAUUUUGAACAUGCUCCAGUGAAAAAUGAAAACAUGGACCAUGGAGACACCAGCUAGAGGUUUCAUGGACUAGAAGCAUCUAUUGUUGUGUUAUGAUUAAACGCAGCCAAAAGUAACGAGUAAAACUGCUAGAUUGCAAUAAGAAAAAUCUCUUUUUUUGGCCUUUCCUAUAUACCCCCGAUUUCUUUUUUGUUUUAUAUCAAAGGAAGAUACCGAGUUUCAGAAGUAGUUUUUGAAAUUAGGUAUUUUACCAUUCAUACCCUUGAAUAGAAAUGUUUUUUGAUUAAAUACUUAGCAAUAGGAUUGAAUUGCAUGUCAGUACUGGAUAUUUGAGUUGGAAAAAUAUCCUUUUUAUUAGACACAUUGUAAAAAGCAUGCAUUCUUGAAUACUGCUGUUAACUCUUCCAUUUCUUUGUGUCACAUGCUUGCUACUUGUAACUUUUUAUAUAAAGAUAUAUAAAAAUGUAUAAUAAUUUCCUAACUUGAGUUAAGAGAAAUGUUUUCUUCUAUUAGAGUGAUAAAAAACUCACUCACAUAAAUACACACUUUAUAUCAACUGUUUCCACAUUUUAGGCUACAGGAUGUCCUUUGGUAUGGAGGCUUACUUCUCCAAAAUUUGAUUUCUAAAAUUUUAUGGAAUAUGUUCUCCUUUUAGAAUAGGAAAGUCCUUUUUAAAUGCUUUAAAAAACCAGGCCAAUUUAUGACCCAAAUUAUACCAUUCUG
rnacentral:lncRNA from 1 species